GAUGAACGCUGGCGGCGUGCCUAAUACAUGCAAGUCGAGCGAACGGACGAGAAGCUUGCUUCUCUGAUGUUAGCGGCGGACGGGUGAGUAACACGUGGAUAACCUACCUAUAAGACUGGGAUAACUUCGGGAAACCGGAGCUAAUACCGGAUAAUAUUUUGAACCGCAUGGUUCAAAAGUGAAAGACGGUCUUGCUGUCACUUAUAGAUGGAUCCGCGCUGCAUUAGCUAGUUGGUAAGGUAACGGCUUACCAAGGCAACGAUGCAUAGCCGACCUGAGAGGGUGAUCGGCCACACUGGAACUGAGACACGGUCCAGACUCCUACGGGAGGCAGCAGUAGGGAAUCUUCCGCAAUGGGCGAAAGCCUGACGGAGCAACGCCGCGUGAGUGAUGAAGGUCUUCGGAUCGUAAGACUCUGUUAUUAGGGAAGAACAUAUGUGUAAGUAACUGUGCACAUCUUGACGGUACCUAAUCAGAAAGCCACGGCUAACUACGUGCCAGCAGCCGCGGUAAUACGUAGGUGGCAAGCGUUAUCCGGAAUUAUUGGGCGUAAAGCGCGCGUAGGCGGUUUUUUAAGUCUGAUGUGAAAGCCCACGGCUCAACCGUGGAGGGUCAUUGGAAACUGGAAAACUUGAGUGCAGAAGAGGAAAGUGGAAUUCCAUGUGUAGCGGUGAAAUGCGCAGAGAUAUGGAGGAACACCAGUGGCGAAGGCGACUUUCUGGUCUGUAACUGACGCUGAUGUGCGAAAGCGUGGGGAUCAAACAGGAUUAGAUACCCUGGUAGUCCACGCCGUAAACGAUGAGUGCUAAGUGUUAGGGGGUUUCCGCCCCUUAGUGCUGCAGCUAACGCAUUAAGCACUCCGCCUGGGGAGUACGACCGCAAGGUUGAAACUCAAAGGAAUUGACGGGGACCCGCACAAGCGGUGGAGCAUGUGGUUUAAUUCGAAGCAACGCGAAGAACCUUACCAAAUCUUGACAUCCUUUGACAACUCUAGAGAUAGAGCCUUCCCCUUCGGGGGACAAAGUGACAGGUGGUGCAUGGUUGUCGUCAGCUCGUGUCGUGAGAUGUUGGGUUAAGUCCCGCAACGAGCGCAACCCUUAAGCUUAGUUGCCAUCAUUGAGUUGGGCACUCUAAGUUGACUGCCGGUGACAAACCGGAGGAAGGUGGGGAUGACGUCAAAUCAUCAUGCCCCUUAUGAUUUGGGCUACACACGUGCUACAAUGGACAAUACAAAGGGCAGCGAAACCGCGAGGUCAAGCAAAUCCCAUAAAGUUGUUCUCAGUUCGGAUUGUAGUCUGCAACUCGACUACAUGAAGCUGGAAUCGCUAGUAAUCGUAGAUCAGCAUGCUACGGUGAAUACGUUCCCGGGUCU
rnacentral:rRNA from 1 species